UGAUGCGAUCAUACCAGCACUAAAGCACCGGAUCCCAUCAGAACUCCGAAGUUAAGCGUGCUUGGGCGAGAGUAGUACUAGGAUGGGUGACCUCCUGGGAAGUCCUUGUGUUGCAUUCC
rnacentral:rRNA from 1 species